UUAUCUUCAUCUCAUCACACCAUCGCAGUUUAUCUGGGAGCCGCCUCGCCUGGUGGCGUUUUAACUUUUCCCGUCAUGAAGCGUUCGGAAAAGAUGAAAGAAGCAAAGAUCCUU